rnacentral:rRNA from 1 species
AGAAUCAACGCUGGCGGCGUGCCUAACACAUGCAAGUCGCACGAGAAAGGGUAGCAAUACCUGAGUAAAGUGGCGCACGGGUGAGUAACACGUGACUAAUCUACCCUCGAGUGGGGAAUAACUGAGAGAAAUCUCAGCUAAUACCGCAUAACACUUACGAGUCAAAGCAGAAAUGCGCUUGGGGAGGAGGUCGCGGCCGAUUAGCUAGUUGGCGGGUAAUGGCCCACAAGGCAUGAUCGGAUCCGG